GAUGAACGCUGGCGGCGUGCCUAAUACAUGCAAGUCGAGCGAACGGACGAGAAGCUUGCUUCUCUGAUGUUAGCAGCGGACGGGUGAGUAACACGUGGAUAACCUACCUAUAAGACUGGGAUAACUUCGGGAAACCGGAGCUAAUACCGGAUAAUAUUUUGAACCGCAUGGUUCAAAAGUGAAAGACGGUCUUGCUGUCACUUAUAGAUGGAUCCGCGCUGCAUUAGCUAGUUGGUAAGGUAACGGCUUACCAAGGCAACGAUGCAUAGCCGACCUGAGAGGGGGGACGGGCCACAAGGAAAUGGAACCCGGCUCCAGCCCCCCAGGGGAGGAACGAGGGGGAAUCCUCCCGCAAGGGGCAAAGCCCUGACGGAGCACCGCCGGGUGAGUAAUAAAGGUCUCGGGAUCGAAAACCUUUUUUAUUGGGAAAAAAAAUAUUUGUAAGAAAGUGGCCCCUUCUUGAGGGUCCCUAAUAAAAAGCCCACGGCUAACUACGUC
rnacentral:rRNA from 1 species